ACCCUUAGAUGUUCUGGGCCGCACGCGGGCUACACUGGCGCCUGCAUCGAGCAUAUCAGCUGGCCCGAGAGGGUCUUGGCUAAUCUUUUGAACCGGCGCCGUGCUUGGGAUUGACCUUUGCAAUUGUUGGUCAUGCAACGAGGAAUGCCUUGUAAACGCGAGUCAUCAGCUCGCAUUGAAUACGUCCCUGCCCUUUGUACACACCGCCCGUCGCUCCUACCGAUGAAUGUUCCGAUGAAAUUUUCGGAGAGUGCCUGUGAAGCCGGCUCCGCCUGUCGAAAGGGAUGCUCAAAGUCACUUAAAUCUGAACAUUUCGAGGAAGGAGAAGUCGUAACA
rnacentral:rRNA from 1 species